rnacentral:rRNA from 1 species
ACGGGUGAGUAACACGUGGAUCAUCUACCUUCUAGUGGGGAAUACCCCCGGGAAACUGGGGACAAUACCGCAUAAGCUCGUAAGAGGAAAGCAGCAAUGCGCUGGAAGAGGAGUCCGCGGCUGAUUAGCUAGUUGGCGGGGUAACGGCCCACCAAGGCGAAGAUCGGUAGCCGGCCUGAGAGGGCACACGGCCACACUGGCACUGAAACACGGGCCAGACUCCUACGGGAGGCAGCAGUGGGGAAUCUUGCACAAUGGAGGAAACUCUGAUGCAGCGACGCCGCGUGAGCGAUGAAGCCCUUCGGGGUGUAAAGCUCUUUCGACGGGAACGAUAAUGACGGUACCCGAAGAAGAAGCUGCGGCUAACUACGUGCCAGCAGCCGCGGUAAUACGUAGGCAGCAAGCGUUGUUCGGAAUUACUGGGCGUAAAGAGUGUGUAGGCGGUGUUCCAAGUCUGUUGUGAAAUCUCCCGGCUUAACUGGGAGGGUGCGGCGGAAACUGGGAUGCUAGAGGAUGGGAGAGGUAAGCGGAAUUCCUGGUGUAGCGGUGAAAUGCGUAGA